rnacentral:rRNA from 1 species
UACGUAGGGGGCGAGCGUUGUCCGAAGUUACUGGGCGUAAAGGGCGCGUAGGCGGCCACCGCAAGUCAGUUGUGAAAGCUCUGGGCUUAACCCAGAAAGGUCAGCUGAUACUGCGGGGCUAGAGUGCAGAAGGGGCAACUGGAAUUCUCGGUGUAGCGGUGAAAUGCGUAGAUAUUGGAAGGAGCAUCAGUGGCGAAGGCGACUUUCUGGACAGAUACUGACACUGAGGCACGAAAGCGUGGGGAGCAAACAGG